GACAGAGGGUGCAAACGUUGUUCGGAAUUACUGGGCGUAAAGCGUGUGUAGGCGGCUCUGCAAGUCGGAUGUGAAAGCCCUGGGCUCAACCCAGGAAGUGCACUCGAUACUGCAGAGCUUGAGUAUCGGAGAGGUUGGUGGAAUUCUCGGUGUAGAGGUGAAAUUCGUAGAUAUCGAGAGGAACACCGGUGGCGAAGGCGGCCUUCUGGACAGUAACUGACGCUGAGACGCGAAAGCGUGGGGAGCAAACAGG
rnacentral:rRNA from 1 species